AGUAAAUGCUCCAACUACAAGAAUCCGACCAACACCUCAGAAACACACUACAGUAAAUGCUCCAACUACAGGAAUCCAACCAACACCUCAGAAACACACUACAGUAAAUAUUGCAGCUGCAGAAGUUCAACCAACUCCUCAGAAACCCACCACAGUCAGUGUUCCAGAUGCAAAAGUCUCACUCAUUCCUCAGAAAACCAUCACAAUAAACAUUUCAGAUACAAAAGCCCCACUAACUGCUCAGAAACCUCCCAGGGCAAAUAGUUCAGCCACAAAGACCCCAGCAGCAGCUCAGACAUCCCCCCUGCCACAUGUUCUGUCUACAGUGACCACACUGGCAGCCCAGAAUUCCGCCACGGCUAACACUUCUGCCACACAGACCGCACCAACAACCCCAAUACUCACCACAGCAAAAGCUUCCUUUACACAGACUCUUCCAGCAAGACAAAAGUCCACUACUAAGCAUGUCUCAGGUACACAAAGACUCACCUCUGCUCGUAUUACAGCAACGUCCCGUCCGCCUGUUUCCAGGAUAAGUACACGUCCUCCUACAACAGCAUCUGAAGAGAAAGGGUUGUCUUCAGGUACAAAAAGUCUCAUAUAUGGACACUCAUGUAUAAAAUUGACGAUUUUGCUUGUGAUGCUAGUAACCGCUGGCUACCUGACAUAGCCAAAGAAGAGUUAAGAAGAGAUCGUCCCCAAAUACUCGGAAUAUUUCUAGCUUGUUACAAGUUCCUGGAGAAACACAGAUACAAUAAACCCAGUAGUGCCCUCUGCUUUGCAUGUUGCCCUUUAUCUUUUUUAGGGUAUGUUAGGAAUGUCAACAAAACAAGGGGGCAGGAGUCCAUCUGGAAGGAAAUUCUCAACGCACCUAAAGCCUCUUGAAAGUAGAAGGCCUUGCAGAAUUGAGAAGAUCACUUUCCUAAAAGUAUAGGAAAGUAGAGACAUUUGUUUAUGCUUACAGUGGGAGCCUGAAUUUCUAUCACUAGAUGUGUAAGCUUAUUUUUACUUGUAAAAGGAAAUAAAAAGUUUAAAACGUUAAUUGGAUAGCAGAAACAAAAUAUCUCAUAUUUUCUAAGCAAAAUUGCCAAAAAGAGAUGAACCAGAUUCUAAAAUAAUGCUUAAACUAUAAAGCACUUUUACAUAUUUCAUUAAAAUGAAUCUUUGGUUUUGGCAAAAUGUUUUAAAGGAAAAACAUACUAAUGAUCCAGGAAUGUAUGUUUCUUGACUUAGUUGGUGGCAAGGGAGGAACAGGAAGUAAAGGAGUUGCUUCUCCCUUUGUUGCAGAAUACAGAUAACAAAACAGGACUUAGUCUAAUACUUACAAGAUUGAUAAGCUGAAAUUUUGUACUUAGGACAGGCUGUUUUGUUUUGUGUUACUUUGUUUCCUCAGGAAAAGAGCCUUAUGAAAGAUAUCUUUGAUUUAAUGUCUUUAAAAAAGUACCCAGGAGCCAGAUGUAGUGGCACAUGCCUGCAAUCCCACCACUUGGGAGGCUGAGGCAGGAAGAUGGCCAUGAGUUUGAGACCUGCCAGCCUGAACUACCAGUGAGAGCCCCCCAAAGUAUCCAGAGAUAGAUAGUAAAAUAUUGACAUAAGGAAAGAUUCUGUAUUUCUGAAGUGAGAUGUUCAUAGCCAAAUUGUAAAUCUUAUUCUUUGUAACAUUAAUUUAUUUAUAUUUAUUUAUGUUGGUGAAUAUUUUGGUUCAUUUCAAGAAGAUAUGUAAAUGAAAAUUUAUUUUCCCUAAGUGGAAAUAAAUAAUCACAGUUUUUGGCCUCAUGUAGUAUUUGAAAUUUAUUUUCUUUAAUGUGAAUAUCUUAUUUCUAAAUAAGAGUCCCUGUACCUCAGAUAUCAUUUAGAUUGCUGUCCCUUGGUUACCCUCAUGUGACUCAUUUUCAGGUACUUUAAAAUUGUACUACAUUGUACCUUCUCAAGAAUGUGAUACCCUCUCCUAAUAGUCUUGAUAUUAUUUGUUACUGAUUUCUAGGUUUUUAAUACAUUCUUAUUUGCUAUUUUGAAUGGUAGACUAGAACUAAAAUAUAUGCAUAACUAGAUUAACAAUGGUUAUUGCUUUGUCUAUUUUGUUAUUCUUGGUAGUAAAGUACUUUAAGUUCCAUUCACUUCAUGGCAUUUCACUGUAAAACUGUCAAUAUAUAUUUCUAACAAUAAGGGCAUCUUUUCUUCCUAACCGCAAUCAUUACAGCUAACAAGAUUAACAAUAAUUUUCUAGUUGUUUCUAAUGUUAGGAAAUUAUUGGUUUUUUUUCCCUUAAAUUCUUUUAUUGGUACAUUUUAGGUAUGCAGUACAUUUACAUUUCUCAUUGGGAACUUGUACCUGUACAUGAUGCAUCUUGGUUCUUAUUUUUUCCCCAUUCCCUGCCCUCCCUUCACCCCCUCC
rnacentral:lncRNA from 1 species